GUAGGUGGCAAGCGUUGUCCGGAAUUAUUGGGCGUAAAGCGCGCGCAGGCGGUUCUUUAAGUCUGAUGUGAAAGCCCACGGCUCAACCGUGGAGGGUCAUUGGAAACUGGAGAACUUGAGUACAGAAGAGGAAAGCGGAAUUCCACGUGUAGCGGUGAAAUGCGUAGAGAGGUGGAGGAACACCAGUGGCGAAGGCGGCUUUCUGGUCUGUAACUGACGCUGAGGCGCGAAAGCGUGGGGAGCAAACAGGGAUUAGAUACCCUGGUAGUCCACGCCGUAAACGAUGAGUGCUAAGUGUUAGGGGGUUUCCCGCCCCUUAGUGCUGCAGCUAACGCAUUAAGCACUCCGCCUGGGGAGUACGGCCGCAAGGCUG
rnacentral:rRNA from 1 species